rnacentral:rRNA from 1 species
GGGGGAAUCUUGCGCAAUGGGCGAAAGCCUGACGCAGCGACGCCGCGUGCGGGAAGAAGGCCUUCGGGUUGUAAACCCCUUUCAGCAGGGACGAAGCGAAAGUGACGGUACCUGCAGAAGAAGCGCCGGCUAACUACGUGCCAGCAGCCGCGGUAACACGUAGGGCGCAAGCGUUGUCCGGAAUUAUUGGGCGUAAAGAGCUCGUAGGUGGUCUGCUGCGUCCGCUGUGAAAAUCCAAGGCUUAACCUUGGGCUUGCAGUGAAUACGGGCAGACUAGAGGUAGGUAGGGGAGAAUGGAAUUCCCGGUGUAGCGGUGAAAUGCGGAGAUAUCGGGAGGAACACCGGUGGCGAAGGCGGUUCUCUGGGCCUUACCUGACACUGAGGAGCGAAAGCGUGGGGAGCGAACAGGAUUAGAUACC